UUGAAAGGGAAACGAUUGAAGUCAGUCGUACCGACGGAGGAUCAACCUUUGAAAGCGGGUCGAGGUAUUCGAGGAGUUUAAAAGCCCUCUUGCGCUCACGUACUUCGUUUUCUUUGGUGCACUUCUUCGUAUGGUAGGUUAACAUCAAUUUUGGACGUUACAAAAUGAUCGGGGGAAUGUAGCUUCGAUUUUUUCGAAGUGUUAUAGACCUUGGUAGAUGUGACGACCGGGAUUGAGGAUUGCAACGAAUGCUUUCGGGCUAUCCGUCUGACCUCUGGUGGUUGCUUUGGGGUCGAAAGCGUGCUUACGACUUUAAAGUUGGCUAUCAAAAGGCUAGAACGUGAUUAAAUUCGUUAAGGAUGUUGACGUA
rnacentral:rRNA from 1 species